rnacentral:lncRNA from 1 species
GAAACAUUAUUGACCUCGGUAAAAUAAAAAAAAUUGUGUGUUUAGAAGUUUUUCUUCUUUUAAUCCACAUUACUGAUUUAAAAACCCUUUUUUUAUAUUAAAUUUUUGUGUGUACAUCAGGCAGUUCCUUAAUUUAUCACCAUUUUGACAGGCCCUAUUGGUUAUUAACGUAUUGAAAGUUGUUUACACACAAGAUUUCUGUACCGAAAGAAAUUUCUAGGUGUGUCACCUGGAUAAAAAUGCCUAGAAAAAGAAUAUGGGUCACAUCAAUACGGUUUCCCCAUUGGGCACGGGGCAUAUUGCUAUAAUUAAUGAACCGAUCUGUCUAGGGGGUUACGUAACGAAUCUUUUAAUAGAUAUCAUUAAUCUUGCCGUCGUAUGUAACACACGAGUCUCGUCUCUUCUCUUCUCGCAUUCGAGGUGUUUAAAAUCACGAAAACACAACGAUUAUUGUGUUCGUCUAUUGGGUGUUCAAAAAGCUUACAUGAAAGGAGUCGGUUGUCUACCUGCAGCGAUACUUUCACCUCCAGGGUUUGUGUGAUUCUACUAUUGAGUACACUUCCUAGAAAGUAGGUGUUCUUUCGGAGAAGUGCUGAAAUUCGUGUGCAUGCUAGAAUUCUCUUUAUUCGGAAUUACGACACUGUUUCGGUCUAACAUGAUCGUUUCAUUGUUUUAACCGGCGCCCUUCCGAGUGUUUGCCAGUCAUAAAACUUUUCUUAACGCUAACCUGAAUAGUGUUCUUCGUCUCAGUUUAAAUUGCGAUUGCUACCAAUCCCUCAAAAAUGUUCAAAAAAAUUAUCGAUCCUCCUUUCGUAUGUAUUAUUUUUGAAUAUUAUGCGCGCACUCAAACCUGUGGAGAGGUGGUCAGAUGAGUGUGAUCGCGGACCGGGCCCGGAACCCCAAGAAAAUUUUUCAGGAGAUGCCAAACCCGGGUCCUCCAGUGUGGUACGCCAACGCGUUACCACUCUGCCAUUCUCCGCCCAUAUUAUUUUUGUUUCUCGCCUUCAAACCUGAUUAUUAUUAUUUAAAUUAUCAAAUUGAGCAGAUCAGGACCGGUUCAACAUACUAUCGAGAGGAACGCCCGCUCAGAGCGCUCCGCUCGAUCGUAAGGUUAAAGGUAGACGGCAGAUUUUGUUUAUUGUUGUAGCAAGACUAUUUAUUGUUCACACAUAGUGAGCAGACUGGGAGGCCACCUGGCGCCCCCGGCCGGAAUUAAAAUAUAUAUAAAUGUAAUUUACAAAACAUACACUAUUUCUGUAUACAAUAUUUUUAAAUUUUGUAAAAUGUUUUAAAAAAUAAAAAAUUUUGUGAAGUGCGAUAUUUUUGUGAAUUUAUUAUUUAUUUAUUUAAAACGCAACGUGAGGGGGCGCUAAAAAGUCUAGAGCAGUAGAAUCUGCAGAUAUAGUAGUACAAUGGCCGCCAUUUUAUAUCCUCCUGCCGAUCGAUAUCACGGGUAACUAUAUUUCUUUUUAAUUUAUAAAUACAACAGUUGCUUACCUGGCAAACGAGAAAAUUUUUUGGAAAUUUAUUUAUUUGGAAGAGUUUUUCUUCUUAUUUGGAAAAGUUUUUCUUCUAAUACUUUG